ensembl:lncRNA
UGUGUGUGUGUGUGUGUGUGUGUGUGUGUGUGUGUGUGUGUGUGUGUGUGUGUGUGUGUGUGUGUGUGUGUGUGUGUGCGUGGACAACGCAUACAAGGCGGGUAGCUUGUUUUAAAGCCAACUGAUAGAUUUGGGUUCAGUUGUCUUAACAAAACAAAAUCUUCAUCCGUGAAAAUGUUUUCAUCCUGGAGGAGACUGUUCAGGAGGCAGAGGAGAUACAUGCAAAUCCAUGUUAUUUCUAAGGUGAUUGUUAGUUUAAAGUAUAUGCAGUGAUUCUUGAAUAUAACUAUAGCCUAACAGAUACCGCAAUUGUUUUCUACCAACAGGAAAGAACCGUUAGUACAGCAUGCCAAACUGACCCCCUGGGUGCCAGAGUGUUCCUGUGCUGCGUGGAGAAGAGGUCCACUGGAACCCUCAAUAAAGAGGUCCACCAGGACCCUCACUAAAGAGGUUUACCGGGACCCUCACUAAAGAGGUCCACCGGGACCCUCAUUAAAGAGGUUCACCGGGACCCUCAAUAAAGAAGAUUACCGGGACCAUCACUAAAGAGGUCCACCGGGACCAUCACUAAAGAGGUCCACCGGGACCCUCAUUAAAGAGGUUCACUGGGACCCUCAAUAAAGAAGAUUACCGGGACCAUCACUAAAGAGUUCCACCGGGACCCUCACUAAAGAGUUCCACCGGAACCCUCACUAAAGAAGAUUACCGGGACCAUCACUAAAGAGGUCAACUGGUCCCAUCACUAAAGAGGUCCACCGGGACCAUCACUAAAGAGGUCCACCGGGACCCUCACUAAAGAGUUCCACCGGAACCCUCACUAAAGAAGAUUACCGGGACCAUCACUAAAGAGGUCAACUGGUCCCAUCACUAAAGAGGUCCACUGGGACCCUCAUUAAAGAGGUUCACCGGGACCCUCACUAAAGAGUUCCACCGGGACCCUCAGUAAAGAAGAUUACCGGGACCAUCAGGACUACACCACAGAUGGAUUACCAGGACUACACCACAGAUGGAGCUGACGGAGAGAGAGAUCAGUGAAGACCAGGACUACACCACAGAUGGAGCUGAUGGAGAGAGAUCAGUGGACCAGAACUACACCACAGAUGGAGCUGACGGAGAGAGAGAUCAGUGAAGACCAGAACUAUACCAGAGAUGGAGCUGACGGAGAGAGAGAUCAGUGAAGACCAGAACUACACCACAGAUGGAGCUGACGGAGAGAGAGAUCAGUGAAGACCAGAACUACACCACAGAUGGAGCUGACGGAGAGAGAGAUCAGUGAAGACCAGAACUAUACCAGAGAUGGAGCUGACGGAGAGAGAGAUCAGUGAAGACCAGGACUACACCACAGAUGGAGCUGACGGAGAGAGAGAUCAGUGAAGACCAGGACUCGCUGUAUGAACCUGAGAGCUCAGAAUCACAAUCAUCGCAGUGCGAGCCAAGAUAUACUAUCGAUCACUUUGGGGGAGCGGGGUGGUGUUCCCGAAAAAUGGAGAAGGAGCAGGUCAUUCAACCGAGAGUUCAAAAGAUAUACCCCGUCCAUAAAUGGAAUCGGAGCGGAAUUGUUUAUUUUUUUUACCCUGUUUCAAUGGAUGUGCUACCUUGUCCCGGUUCUGCUGUUUCGACUCUCUCUCUCAACCUAUUGAUGCUCAGCUAUGAAAAGCCAACUGACAUUUGCUCCUGAGGUGUUGAACUGUUGCACCCUCUAUAACCACUGUGGUGUUGAACUGUUGCACCCUCUAUAACCACUGUGGUGUUGAACUGUUGCACCCUCUAUAACCA